rnacentral:lncRNA from 1 species
GUUCUGCCAAGGCUGACCAAAGACAUUUGAACCCUCUGAAGAUUAAUCAAAAGAGCACCUCUCCAAAAUCCAAAUCAACAUACCAUGUAGUUUACCAGGUAGGUAACCAUGUAGUUUAGUUGUUGGGUGUGUGUGAUUUUCUAUGACCCAGUGAGGAAAAAAAAAGCUGUUUCUGAAAUCUGAAUUGUGCAAGAUCUAUCUGGGUGGAUCCACUCUUUGACACAAAUGCUUUGGCCUGGGCUCAGGCCUGCCUGGAAGGCGAUUAGUAUUGGAGUAACUGACCCAGUUCUACAGUUCUGUCCACUUUUAUCCAUCACAAACUGUUAAUGAUAGUGUCAUUACUGUGUGCCCGAUUUCUCCCUUGCUGAUUAGUCUGAUGAUUUCUAUGGUAGUGCACUCAUCUAUUAUUGAUUUCACAUGUCUUCCACCUUGUUUUGAAAACAUUUUGGAUCUUAGUGUUAUUGUUAAUGUUUUCCAAAGAAUCACAAUUUUCUUCAGAAUCUAUCAUCAAAAUAGUUGAUUCUCUUUCUCUGGGAUGGGAAAAUGUUAAACAAUAGCCAUAUAGUUAUAGUUACAGUAAUGCCGCUUUCCUAAAAUUUUGACAAUAGUUAAUACAGUAUUUUAAUGGAAGUGGCAGAUAAUACUAAUGUUAAUCCAAUCAAUUCCCAACGUCCCACCUAUUCGAUUUGAAUCAUGAAAAAUCACAUUACAGGUUGUGAAUGACCUUUCAUGUUGACUUCAUUUGUUUGUAAUUAGCAUAUGGAGCAGAAAGUAAGCCAGCAGUGGGAUCAUCCCAUAAAUUCAGCAUGUAUCUCCAGAGAAUACGUCAGGACUCUGCUGGAAAAAUACUCUGAGAACAGGGACUCUGCACUCUUGGACUAUGGCAAGUCAUGUUCCUUUCCUGAUUUCCUGCCCCUAAACUACCUCACCAAGAUUCUGUGGAACAGGGAAGAACAAGGUACAUGACCUUAUUCAUAAAAUAUGUUGUAGGAUAGUAAAUGUUGUCAUUUACUGUAAGGUAAUAAUCGUGUGGAUGUUGUAUUUUAGCUCAGAACCCUUUUGAAGAGCAGGAGAAUGUGGAUGUCGGGUUUGUGGAAGAGAUGGCCUUGAAGCAGACACAGAUCAAGCUGGGCUUCGAAGUCAAGUAAAAACAGCCCAGUACAAAUGGUUAAAGUGGUAAAAAGGGAAACAUGGAAAACAUUCCGAGAAAUUAGGGGGAAAAAGUGCCCCCUGGCCAAAGAAAAAAAGCUUGAUUUAUUCAGGUAAAUGUAGUAGUGAAGAGAAAUCUCAAUGUUAGUGUCAUCUUACU